GAUGAACGCUGGCGGUAUGCUUAACACAUGCAAGUCGAACGGACUCUUCGGAGUUAGUGGCGGACGGGUGAGUAACGCGUGAGAAUCUGGCUUUGGGUUCGGGACAACCACUGGAAACGGUGGCUAAUACCGGAUGUGCCGAGAGGUAAAAGAGAAAUUGCCUGAAGAUGAGCUCGCGUCUGAUUAGCUAGUUGGUGAGGUAAAGGCUCACCAAGGCAGCGAUCAGUAGCUGGUCUGAGAGGAUGACCAGCCACACUGGGACUGAGACACGGCCCAGACUCCUACGGGAGGCAGCAGUGGGGAAUUUUCCGCAAUGGGCGAAAGCCUGACGGAGCAAUACCGCGUGAGGGAAGAAGGCUCUUGGGUUGUAAACCUCAUUUCUUAGGGAAGAACAAAAUGACGGUACCUAAGGAAUCAGCAUCGGCUAACUCCGUG
rnacentral:rRNA from 1 species